UGACUCGAGUGUUGCUAUUCCCGGAAGACCGAAGCCGGGGCCACGAAAUGACUCGAGUGUUGCCAUUCCCGGAAAACCGAAGCCGGGGCCACGAAAUGACUCGAGUGUAGCCAUUCCUGGAAGACCGAAGCCGGGGAGAGAACACGCCAA